UGUAAGAUGAAUAAACCCUUCCCU
rnacentral:misc_RNA from 1 species